rnacentral:rRNA from 1 species
UACGAAGGGGGCUAGCGUUGCUCGGAAUCACUGGGCGUAAAGCGCACGUAGGCGGAUCUUUAAGUCAGGGGUGAAAUCCUGGAGCUCAACUCCAGAACUGCCUUUGAUACUGGGGAUCUCGAGUCCGGAAGAGGCGAGUGGAACUCCGAGUGUAGAGGUGAAAUUCGUAGAUAUUCGCAAGAACACCAGUGGCGAAGGCGGCUCACUGGCCCGGUACUGACGCUGAGGUGCGAAAGCGUGGGGAGCAAACAGGG